UCUGCGAGCAACAUCUUUAAAAGCAUUAUGCAAGAAGUCUUUCGAAGCCGGUCAGUACACCAGUCUGCCAGGGUGACGUAAAUCGCGAUUCGAGGUUAUUAAUACUGCGCGAGGAGAGAAAUUUUCGCGGCGAGAAGUAGUCGACGAAGUGAAAAGGACAGUCGAAAGAGAAGGGAGAGGGAGGAAGAGGAGGAGGAGGAGGAACGUUUUCUGUCACCUGUGAGAGAGAUGGAGAGAGAAGGAGAGAGAGAGAGAGAGAGGAAAGAGGGGAAAGAAGAAAAAGUGGGAGAUAAGAAGAGCGCAAACUCGGUCGGUAGAUCGAGAAAAGCAAAUCUAGGGUACUCGGAGUAAACGCAAAAUUAGGUCCUAGACCGUCCCUACGAAGUAGGUCAAUACAGCACAGGCGCGCGGAGCAGUACAUAGAAGAAGAGAGUGGGUAGUGCGUGUCAAAGUACUUACACUAUAUGUCCG